ACUGGGGCCCUAUACCCUCGACAGCAACAGUCUCUAACUCAAUGGCCCGUACAGAAUGGGACAGCAACCAAAUUCCUGUGUGGCCACUGGAAAACUCCCACCACCCCUAGCCUGGACAGGAAGAAGAUUUAUUGGGAGCUGAGCAAUCAGACCCAAGGUAUCACCAGGCUGGGUGCCUAUACCCUGGACAAUAAGAGCCUCUAUCUCGAUGCACCAGACCCAGCAGUAGCACCUGGUUGUCCCCUGUGGGCCACAGAGCCUGGAGGCUCCCAAGCUGCCAGCUUAAGCUUCCAGUCUUUCACCACCAUUCCCGAGGUGCUGUACACAGAAGAUAUACAUCUUUCUGGAUCUGACAAGUUCAACUUCACCAAAAGAACCCUGCAGCAGUGAGUCUGCCCAAUCCCUUCCUCAUACCCCAAAAAGUCUGCUUUAUUGUGAAUCUCCCCUUACCCUUGUAUUCUCAGGAAAUUCAUUCCUGUUUUGGGGGUAUGGUUUAGAACAAAUUUUCUAAGAUAAAUAUUCAAUCCAGUGGGGAUCUUGGUUUAAAC
rnacentral:lncRNA from 1 species